rnacentral:rRNA from 1 species
CAGCCGCCGCGGUAAUACGUAGGGUGCAAGCGUUAAUCGGAAUUACUGGGCGUAAAGCGUGCGCAGGCGGUUCGUUAAGACAGAUGUGAAAUCCCCGGGCUUAACCUGGGAACUGCAUUUGUGACUGGCGAGCUAGAGUAUGGCAGAGGGGGGUAGAAUUCCACGUGUAGCAGUGAAAUGCGUAGAGAUGUGGAGGAAUACCGAUGGCGAAGGCAGCCCCCUGGGCCAAUACUGACGCUCAUGCACGAAAGCGUGGGGAGCAAACAGGAUUAGAUACCCCAGUAGUCCCUGUCUCUUAUAC